rnacentral:rRNA from 1 species
CUGGCGGCGUGCCUAACACAUGCAAGUCGAGCGAGGAGAUCCUUCGGGAUGAUCCUAGCGGCGGACGGGUGAGUAACACGUGGGCAACCUGCCUCAUAGAGAGGAAUAGCCUUCCGAAAGGGAGAUUAAUACCUCAUAACAUUGCAGUUUCGCAUGGAACAGCAAUUAAAGGAGUAAUCCGCUAUGAGAUGGGCCCGCGGCGCAUUAGCUAGUUGGUGAGGUAAUGGCUCACCAAGGCGACGAUGCGUAGCCGACCUGAGAGGGUGAUCGGCCACAUUGGGACUGAGACACGGCCCAGACUCCUACGGGAGGCAGCAGUGGGGAAUAUUGCACAAUGGGGGAAACCCUGAUGCAAGCAACGCCGCGUGAGUGAUGACGGCCUUCGGGUUGUAAAGCUCUGUCUUCAGGGACGAUAAUGACGGUACCUGAGGAGGAAGCCACGGCUAACUACGUGCCAGCAGCGGC